UGGCGCGGAUGGGUUGUAGGACAUGAAAACAAUAUGGCAAUAGACUUAUGGGACGAACACAAGGACACUUCAAACUAAGGGUAGAUGUGAACCUAACGAUAUGUCUGAAGCUUUGAUUACAACUUCAGGAGAACAAGUGUGGCCCGAUCUUCCGAAACUUUCUGGUAACUAUCGAUUUGGUGGAAACGAGAGACAUCAAUCCAGCUUGCGAACAACACAAUUCGAAACCCUGCAAUUCUUUUUAUUUUUUUGAUAUUUUUCUUUUACUAAGGAGCACUCAAGAAGUAACCACAGGAAAUUUGAGCUUAAACAAGUGAAAGACGUGGCCUGUGGAAUUUUUUGA
rnacentral:lncRNA from 1 species